UACGUAGGGUGCGAGCGUUAAUCGGAAUUACUGGGCGUAAAGCGUGCGCAGGCGGUUUUGUAAGACAGGUGUGAAAUCCCCGGGCUCAACCUGGGAAUUGCAUUUGUGACUGUACGGCUAGAGUGUGUCAGAGGGGGGUAGAAUUCCACGUGUAGCAGUGAAAUGCGUAGAGAUGUAGAGGAAUACCGAUGGCGAAGGCAGCCCCCUGGGAUAACACUGACGCUCAUGCACGAAAGCGUGGGGAGCAAACAGG
rnacentral:rRNA from 1 species